UUGGGCUGGAAGGCACCUUUAAAGGUUAUCUAGUCCAACCUCCCUGCAAUAAGCAGGGCAUCUUCAACUAGACCAGGUUGUUCAGAGCCCUUGAAUAUUUCCAGACAUGGGCCAUCCACAACUUCUCUGACCAACAUGUUUCAGUGUUUUACCACUCCCACUGUAAAAAAAAAUUUCUUUAUAUCUAAUCUAAACCAAAUCUCCUUUAGUUUUAAACCAUUGUUCUCGUUCUAUUGCAACAUAUCCUACUAAAAGGUUUGUUGUCAUCUUUUUUACAGGUCCCCUUUAGGUACCAGAAAGUUGCUGUGAGGUCUCCCUGGAGCCUUCUCUUCUCCACGCUGAACAGUCCCAAAUCUCUCACCCUGUCUUCACAGGAGAAGUGCUCCAGCCCUCUGAUUGCCUUUGUGGCCUCCUCCGGACUCAUUCCAACAGGUCCAUGGACUCAGGAGUCCAGUAUUAUCUACUGGCAUUAUGCCUAUAGAAGAGGAAGAGCUGACAACCAGGCACACAUACCUGAAUGCCAUGGGCGAUUGUAG
rnacentral:lncRNA from 1 species